GACGAACGCUGGCGGCGUGCUUAACACAUGCAAGUCGAACGGAAAGGCCCUGCUUGCAGGGUGCUCGAGUGGCGAACGGGUGAGUAACACGUGGGUGAUCUGCCCCUUACUUUGGGAUAAGCCUGGGAAACUGGGUCUAAUACUGGAUAGGACCAUGCUGUAGGUGGUGUGGUGGAAAGAUUAGUUUCGGUAAGGGAUGAGCUCGCGGCCUAUCAGCUUGUUGGUGGGGUAAUGGCCUACCAAGGCGUCGACGGGUGGCCGGCCUGAGAGGGUGGACGGCCACAUUGGGACUGAGAUACGGCCCAGACUCCUACGGGAGGCAGCAGUGGGGAAUAUUGCACAAUGGGCGCAAGCCUGAUGCAGCGACGCCGCGUGGGGGAUGACGGCCUUCGGGUUGUAAACUCCUUUCAGCCAUGACGAAGCCCUUGUGGUGACGGUAGUGGUAGAAGAAGCACCGGCUAACUACGUG
rnacentral:rRNA from 1 species